rnacentral:tRNA from 1 species
GCUUAGAUGGUUAAAGUGCCUGAUUUGUAAACAGGAGAUCCUGAGUUCAAAUCCCAG